GCUGGGCAUGGUGGCGCAUGCCUGUAAUCCCAGCUACUCGGGAGGCUGAGGCAGGAGAAUCACUUGAACCCGGGAGGCAGAGGUUACAGUGAACCAAAAUCAUGCCAAUGCACUUCAGCCUGGGUGACAAAGGGAGACUCUGUCUCAA
rnacentral:SRP_RNA from 1 species